CGAAGCUGGAAUCGCUAGUAAUCGCGGAUCAGCACGCCGCGGUGAAUACGUUCCCGGGCCUUGUACACACCGCCCGUCACACCAUGAGAGUCUGUAACACCAAAGCCGGUGGGAUAACCUUUAUAGGAGUCAGCCGUCUAAGGUAGGACAGAUGAUUAGGGUGAAGUCGUAACAAGGUAGC
rnacentral:rRNA from 1 species